UGGGGAAUAUUGCACAAUGGGCGCAAGCCUGAUGCAGCGACGCCGCGUGGGGGAUGACGGCCUUCGGGUUGUAAACUCCUUUCGCUAGGGACGAAGCUUUUUGUGACGGUACCUAGAUAAGAAGCACCGGCUAACUACGUGCCAGCAGCCGCGGUAAUACGUAGGGUGCGAGCGUUGUCCGGAAUUACUGGGCGUAAAGGGCUCGUAGGUGGUUUGUCGCGUCGUCUGUGAAAUUCCGGGGCUUAACUCCGGGCGUGCAGGCGAUACGGGCAUAACUUGAGUACUGUAGGGGUAACUGGAAUUCCUGGUGUAGCGGUGAAAUGCGCAGAUAUCAGGAGGAACACCGAUGGCGAAGGCAGGUUACUGGGCAGUUACUGAAGCUGAGGAGCGAAAGCAUGGGUAGCGAAAAGG
rnacentral:rRNA from 1 species